UAGGGAGUUUUCGGCAAUGGGGCGAAAGCCUGACCGAGCAACGCCGCGUGAGUGAUGACGGCCUUCGGGUUGUAAAGCUCUGUUGCGAGGGAAAAACGACGCGGGGGAGGAAAUGCCCCCGUGUUGAUGGUACCUCGCCAGAAAGUGACGGCUAACUACGUGCCAGCAGCCGCGGUAAUACGUAGGUCACGAGCGUUAUCCGGAAUUAUUGGGCGUAAAGAGUGAGCAGGCGGCAUAGCAAGUCCGGGGUGAAAGAAUGGGGCUCAACCCCAUACAGCCUCGGAAACUACUAAGCUAGAGUGCGCGAGAGGUCAACGGAACUCCAUGUGUAGCGGUGAAAUGCGUAGAUAUAUGGAAGAACACCGGUGGCGAAGGCGGUUGACCAGCGCUGCACUGACGCUCAGUCACGAAAGCGUGGGGAGCAAAUAGGAUUAGAUACCCUGGUAGU
rnacentral:rRNA from 1 species